rnacentral:lncRNA from 14 species
AGUCCAUAUCCCUGCUGAUCUAGGAUACUGACUUUCUUUCCAGGUUUCCAACACUCCUGGGGUCCCUCAUUGCUACUUUGCUAAUGAGCUGUACUCAGUCAGCAAUAUUCAGUAUGACUCCCAUGGGGCCACAGCUGACAUUUCCUUGAAGGCUUCACCUUAUAGCAAUGCCUUCCCCUCUACACCCGUGAAUCAACUGCAACUGAAAGUGACCUACCACAAGGACCAAAUGCUGCAGUUUAAGAUCUAUGAUCCCAACCGCAGUCGUUAUGAAGUUCCAGUCCCUCUGAACAUCCCCAGUGCUCCAUCGAGCACCCCUGAAGGCCGUCUGUAUGAUGUCUUCAUCAAGGAGAAUCCAUUUGGGAUUCAAAUUCGCCGAAAUAGCACAGGCACUGUAAUCUGGGACUCUCAGCUCCUUGGCUUCACCUUUAAUGACAUGUUCAUCCGCAUCUCCACCCGCCUGCCAUCCACAUACAUCUAUGGCUUUGGGGAAACUGAGCACACAACCUUCAAGAUAGACAUGAACUGGCAAACAUGGGGCAUGUUUUCCAGGGAUGAGCCCCCAGGGUACAAGAAGAAUUCCUAUGGUGUCCACCCUUACUACAUGGGGCUGGAGGAGGAUGGCAAUGCCCAUGGAGUCCUCUUGAUGAACAGCAAUGCCAUGGAUGUAACCUUCCAGCCCAUGCCUGCCCUGACAUACCGAACCACAGGGGGCAUUCUGGACUUUUAUGUGUUCUUGGGCCCAACUCCAGAGAUUGUUACUCAACAAUACACAGAGUUGAUUGGUCGGCCUGUGAUGGUACCUUAUUGGUCCCUGGGAUUCCAGCUGUGUCGCUAUGGAUAUGAGAAUGAUACUGAGAUUGCCAACCUGUAUGAUGAGAUGGUGGCUAAGCAGAUCCCCUAUGAUGUGCAGUACUCAGACAUUGACUACAUGGAGAGGCAGCUGGACUUCAAGCUCAGCCCUAAGUUCUCUGGGUUUCCAGACCUGAUCAAUCGCAUGAAGGACAAUGGGAUGCGGGUCAUCCUCAUUCUGGAUCCAGCUAUUUCUGGCAAUGAGACAGAGCCCUAUCCUGCCUUCACCAGGGGAGUGGAGAAUGACGUCUUCAUCAGCUAUCCCAAUAAUGGAGGCAUUGUCUGGGGAAAGGUCUGGCCUGAUUACCCUAAUAUCACUGUGGACCCGUCUCUAGACUGGGACAGUCAAGUGCAGCAAUACCGAGCUUAUGUGGCCUUCCCAGACUUUUUCCGUAAUUCAACUGCCCUCUGGUGGAAGAAUGAGAUUAAAGAACUCCACAGCAACUCACAGGAUCCUGCAAAGAGCUUGAAGUUUGAUGGCCUGUGGAUUGACAUGAAUGAACCUUCCAGCUUUGUGAAUGGGGCAGUUCCUUCCGGCUGCACUGACACUACUCUGAACCGUCCUCCCUACAUGCCACGUAAGGACCUUGGGCCGUUACACUCUUGCACAAUGGCUAGAAGAAGAUGCGCCAAGCAU